rnacentral:rRNA from 1 species
UACGUAGAAGACUAGUGUUAUUCAUCUUUAAUAGGUUUAAAGGGUACCUAGACGGUAUAAUUAGUCUUAAACAGGAUACGAUUAUACUAGAGUUAUAUAUGAGGAGGUGAGUAUUUAUGCAGUAGAGUUGAAAUUCGUUGAUAGCAUAACGACUGGUAACGGCGAAAGCAACCUUUUAUCUAAUAACUGUACGUUGAGGGACGAAGGCUUGGGAUAACGAACAGG